rnacentral:rRNA from 1 species
UGUCCUAUAAUCGAUAAUCCCCGUUUAACCUCACCAUUUUUAGCCAUAUCAGUCUGUAUACCUCCGUCGCCAAUUUACCACGUGAGCGUCUAAUAGUAAGUAAAAUAUCUUAUUACUCGAUUAUACGUCAGGUCAAGGUGCAGCAAAUAAAAUGGGAAGAGAUGGGCUACACUCUCUAAUUUAAAAUAUACGGAAAACUCCUCAUGAAAAGAGUUUGAAGGCGGAUUUAGUAGUAAGAGAGGCUCAAAGAGCCCCUCUUAAACCGGCACUGGGGUGUGUACACACCGCCCGUCACCCUCUUCGCAGCCCUUAAAUAGUGUUUUACAACCCCAUGCACAGUAGAAGAGGCAAGUCGUAACAUGGUAAGUAUACCGGAAGGUGUGCUUGGAAA